rnacentral:sRNA from 24 species
GUGAGAAGCUUGAGUUCACCAGACUCAGCCCCAGAAAUGGGAGCUCCGUUCGAGAGGUCAAAACACCUGCGGUUGACGCAUCAGACCGCUGCUCUGUU